AGGGUUUAAUCUAUAAGCUCAGUUAGACGCUGGCGGGAUGCUUUACACAUGCAAGUCGAACGGCAGCACGGACUUCGGUCUGGUGGCGAGUGGCGAACGGGUGAGUAAUGUAUCAGAACGAUACCUGGCGUGGCGGGGGAUAACUACGCAGCGUAACUAAUACGCCGCCCUUGAGGAAAGCAGGGGACCUUCGGGCCUCGCACUAUUAGAGCGGCCGAUAUCGGAUUGGCGGCUAGUUGGUGGGGUAACGACUCCUGGAAGGGGCGACGACGAUCCGUAGCUGGUUUGAGAGGACGACCAGCCACUGGACUGGAGGGCCAGCCCAAAGAGACUCACUGCGGAGAGCAGCAGUGGGGAAUUUUUGGACAAUGGGGAAACCUGAUCCAGCCAUCCCGCGUGUGCGAUGAAGGCCUUCGGGUUGUAAAGCACUUUUAGCAGGAAAGAAACAGCACGGAUAAUACCCCGUGCAACUGACCAGACACCUGCAGAAUAAGCGCCGGCUAACUACGUGCCAGCAGCCGCAGUAUGCGUAGAAUUGCAAGCGGUGUUAAUCAGGAGUACUAGGCGGGCGUCGCGUGCCACGAGCGGUUCAGGAAAAAGGUCGCGAAAUCCCAGACAACUGAACUGCAUUUCCAACUACCGAGCUAGAGUGUGUCAGAAGUGAAUUCACUACGUCAGCAGUGAAAUGCGUAGAUAUGCGGAGGAACACCGAUGGCAAGAGCAGCCUCCUGGGAUAACACUGACGCUCCAUGCACGAAAGCGUGGGAGCAAACAGGAUUAGAUACCCUGGUAGUCCACGCCCUAAACGAUGUCAACUAGCUGUUGGAGCCUUCGGGCCUUGAAAGUAAGCACCAGCUAACACCCGUGAAGUUGACCGCCUGGGGAAGUACAGUCGCAAAUUCAAAACUCAAAGGAAUUGACGAGGACCCGCACAAGCAGUGGAUGAUGUGGAUUAAUUCGAUGCAACGCGAAAAGCCUUGCCUACCUUCGGCAUGCAGGUCGAGAAAGAAGGAUUUGGGAGUGCUGAGAGAACCAGAACACAGGUGCUGCAUGGCUGUCGUCGCUCAUUGUCGUGAGAUGUUGGGUUAAGUCCGCAACGAGAAGCGCAACCCUUGUCAUUAGUUGCUACGAAGGGCACCUCUAAAUGAGACUGCCGGUGUGACAAACCGGAGGAAGGUGGGGAUGACGUCAAGUCCUCAUGGCCCUUAUGGGUAGGAGCUUCACACGUCAUACAAUGAGUCAGGACCGUCGCCAACCCGCGAGGAGCCAAUCCCAGAAACCCAAUCGUAGUCCGGAUCGCAGUCUGCAACUCGACUGCGUGGUCAGAUCGCUAGUAAUCGCGGAUCAGCAUGUCGCGGUGAAUACGUUCCCGGGUCUUGCUUGCACCGCCCGUCACACCAUGGGAAUUAGGUUUUACCCAGUAGUUAGCCUAACCGUAAGGGGCGAUUACCACGGUAGGAUUCAUGACUGGGGUGAAGUCAUAACAAAAUUG
rnacentral:rRNA from 1 species